rnacentral:rRNA from 1 species
GAUGAACGCUGGCGGCGUGCCUAAUACAUGCAAGUCGAGCGAACAGACGAGGAGCUUGCUCCUCUGACGUUAGCGGCGGACGGGUGAGUAACACGUGGAUAACCUACCUAUAAGACUGGGAUAACUUCGGGAAACCGGAGCUAAUACCGGAUAAUAUAUUGAACCGCAUGGUUCAAUAGUGAAAGACGGUUUUGCUGUCACUUAUAGAUGGAUCCGCGCCGCAUUAGCUAGUUGGUAAGGUAACGGCUUACCAAGGCAACGAUGCGUAGCCGACCUGAGAGGGGGGUCGGCCACACUGGAACUGAGGCACGGUCCAGACUCCUACGGGAGGCAGCAGUAGGGAAUCUUCCGCAAUGGGCGAAAGCCUGACGGAGCAACGCCGCGUGAGUGAUGAAGGUCUUCGGAUCGUAAAACUCUGUUAUUAGGGAAGAACAAAUGUGUAAGUAACUAUGCACGUCUUGACGGUACCUAAUCAGAAAGCCACGGCUAACUACGUG